AUUGAACGCUGGCGGCAUGCUCUACACAUGCAAGUCGAACGGUAACAGGCCGCCAGGUGCUGACGAGUGGCGGACGGGUGGGUAAUGCAUCGGAACGUGCCCAGUCGUGGGGGAUAACUACUCGAAAGAGUAGCUAAUACCGCAUACGAUCUAUGGAUGAAAGCGGGGGACCGUAAGGCCUCGCGCGAUUGGAUCGGCCGAUGUCAGAUUAGGUAGUUGGUGGGGUAAAGGCUCACCAAGCCAACGAUCUGUAGCUGGUCUCAGAGAACGACCAGCCACACGGGGACUGAGACACGGCCCAGACUACUACGAGAGGCAGCAGUGGGGAAUUUUGGACAAUGGGCGCAAGCCUGAUCCAGCAAUGCCGCGUGCAGGAAGAAGGCCUUCGGGUUGUAAACUGCUUUUGUACGGAACGAAACGGCUCUGGUUAAUACCCGGGGCUAAUGACGGUACCGUAAGAAUAAGCACCGGCUAACUACGUG
rnacentral:rRNA from 1 species